AGAGUUUGAUCAUGGCUCAGAUUGAACGCUGGCGGAAUGCUUUACACAUGCAAGUCGAACGAAGUAGCAAUACUUAGUGGCAGACGGGUGAGUAACAUGUGGGUAUCUGCCCUUUGGCCUGGAAUAACACGAGGAAACUUGUGCUAAUACCGGAUAAGUCUUUACGGAGAAAGCUUUAUGCACCAUUGGAUGAGCCCGCACUUGAUUAGUUUGUUGGUGGGGUAAUGGCCUACCAAGACUGUGAUCAAUAGCUGAUUUGAGAGGAUGAUCAGCCACAUUGGGACUGAGACACGGCCCAAACUCCUACGGGAGGCAGCAGUGGGGAAUCUUGCACAAUGGAGGAAACUCUGAUGCAGCGAUGCCGCGUGAGUGAAGAAGGCCCUUGGGUUGUAAAGCUCUUUCGUCGGGGAAGAAAAUGACUGUACCCGAAUAAGAAGGUCCGGCUAACUUCGUGCCAGCAGCCGCGGUAAUACGAAGGGACCUAGCGUAGUUCGGAAUUACUGGGCUUAAAGAGUUCGUAGGUGGUUGAAAAAGUUGGUGGUGAAAUCCCAGAGCUUAACUCUGGAACUGCCAUCAAAACUUUUCAGCUAGAGUAUGAUAGAGGAAAGCAGAAUUUCUAGUGUAGAGGUGAAAUUCGUAGAUAUUAGAAAGAAUACCAAUUGCGAAGGCAGCUUUCUGGAUCAUUACUGACACUGAGGAACGAAAGCAUGGGUAGCGAAGAGGAUUAGAUACCCUCGUAGUCCAUGCCGUAAACGAUGUGUGUUAGACGUUGGAAAUUUAUUUUCAGUGUCGCAGGGAAACCGAUAAACACACCGCCUGGGGAGUACGACCGCAAGGUUAAAACUCAAAUGAAUUGACGGGGACCCGCACAAGUAGUGGAGCAUGUGGUUUAAUUCGAAGAUACGCGCAGAACCUUACCAACACUUGACAUGUUCGUCGCGACUCUAAGAGAUUAGAGUUUUCGGUUCGGCCGGACGAAACACAGGUGCUGCAUGGCUGUCGUCAGCUCGUGUCGUGAGAUGUUGGGUUAAGUCCCGCAACGAGCGCAACCCUUGUCAUUAGUUGCUACAUUUAGUUGGGCACUCUAAUGAGACUGCCGGUGACAAACCGGAGGAAGGUGGGGAUGACGUCAAGUCCUCAUGGCCCUUAUAGGUGGGGCUACACACGUCAUACAAUGGCUGGUACAAAGGGUUGCCAACCCGCGAGGGGGAGCUAAUCCCAUAAAACCAGUCGUAGUCCGGAUCGCAGUCUGCAACUCGACUGCGUGAAGUCGGAAUCGCUAGUAAUCGUGGAUCAGAAUGUCACGGUGAAUACGUUCCCGGGUCUUGUACACACCGCCCGUCACACCAUGGGAGCGGGUUCUGCCAGAAG
rnacentral:rRNA from 1 species